UUAUCUUGUAAAUAUGAUCUUCACUGAUUGCUACUACACUUUUUUUUAAUGUUGUCGUGGGUAUAAUUAGGUUGCAUUUCCAUCUUUUAGGCCCCAAAAGGGUGAAGUUAUUUUCUAACAAGGAGAAUAUGGGAUUUAGGAAUAGUUUUUUUGGCAAAUCUCUUUGUGUCUCGGCACUUUUGUCACGAGAUUCAAUUAGUUGCUGAAUCCUUUCUAUCAAGUUCGAUUACACAUCCUUUCUCAUCUACAACUUUUAGUUUCUUCUGUUAUUAGUGCAGAACUAUUAAGUUCAUUACUAAUUGUAUUAUUAUCUUCUUCCCCUAAUUUUGUUUCUCAUCAUUGAUUUCUCUAAAACCUCAGACAUGGCAAUAAUGAUAUUGAGGUUUGUAUUGAGCUUUAUUGAUUUGAUGAUCUCAAUUCUUGCGGAUCGACAUGACAAUAGGUUUGCUUAUGUUACUUUUACCUUUGUGAAACAUGAGAAUGAUCAAUAAGGUAUGCUUAGAUAUGCAUAAACAAGUUCAAUUUUCUUCAAUGUGAUAUAUGAUUGCAGGCUAUAUAUAGGGAGAAUAUCAAAUAAAAGUAACUACAAGUGCCCUGGCCUUGUUGCUAACCAUCAGGUACAACGAAUUACGAAAAAUAUGUGUCCAAGGCCAUCUAAUUAAGUCUGGUAAGGGACCACAAGAUCAAAAGCUAAAUCAACUCUGAAUCAAUGCUAAUAUUACCACUUCCCACCAAGGAAUUUUGUUGAAAUGCCAUCAGUGAAUUGGAGAGAGUGGCUGACAACUGGUUUGGGGCGUGUUGUUACUCUUUUGGAGGAGUAAGUGAGAAGAUGGUGAUGAGGAUCUUGUGGAACUGUGUAUCAUGCUAUGUGGUAUUGAUAGGGUGUUGUUGUCAAGGUUUUCUCAAAGCAAGAAUAUUUAGAUGAUGUGCUAUUGUCCUACAGACAAGAGGUGCUUAUUCAAUUGAAGUUGACGCCGCCAAAGCCCAUGAUUUAGUGUCAAAAAGAAUAGGGGGCAUAAAAGCAUUAACCAAUUUUCAUGUAUGUAUCAUUCAUUAUAGAUAUAUUUAUGAGUUUCAUAGUAUAGGUAGUGGUGCUUUCUUGGAACACUUUGUGUAUGGUAUUAAAUCUUUCAAUGUAAAUAAUUUGGUCGUGCAUGGUCAAUUAUUUUGAUCAAGAAAUACAUGUAUUAGUGGUGGAAUAAAAUUUGUUGUCCAGAUUUUAAUGGAGUUUGU